UCUACGGGAGGCAGCAGUGGGGAAUAUUGGGCAAUGGGCGCAAGCCUGACCCAGCAACGCCGCGUGAAGGAAGAAGGCUUUCGGGUUGUAAACUUCUUUUCUGAGGGACGAAGAAAGUGACGGUACCUCAGGACUAAGCCACGGCUAACUACGUGCCAGCAGCCGCGGUAAUACGUAGGUGGCAAGCGUUAUCCGGAUUUAUUGGGUGUAAAGGGCGUGUAGGCGGGAAAGCAAGUCAGAUGUGAAAACUCAGGGCUCAACCCUGAGCCUGCAUUUGAAACUGUGCUGCUAGAGUGUCGGAGAGGCAGGCGGAAUUCCUAGUGUAGCGGUGAAAUGCGUAGAUAUUAGGAGGAACACCAGUGGCGAAGGCGGCCUGCUGGACGAUGACUGACGUUGAGGCUCGAAAGCGUGGGGAGCAAACAGGAUUAGAUACCCCAGUAGUC
rnacentral:rRNA from 1 species